CUGGCGUCUCCCACCCACUAGCAUCUGCGGAUGGUGGCUUUCUGUGGGUUCCCAUGCUGAUGAUUCACAGCCUGGACCGCACGCCGGUCAUUUACGAGCUGACGCCGAACCGUGGCACCGCU
rnacentral:snRNA from 1 species